ensembl:snRNA U6 U6 spliceosomal RNA
GUGCUGGCUUCAGCAGCACAUAUAUUAAAAUUGGAACAAUACAGAGAUGAUUAGCAUGGCCCAUGUGGAAGAUGACUCACAAUUUGUGACAUAUUCCAUAUUUUA